rnacentral:lncRNA from 1 species
GAGCACUUGAGCAGAGGAGCAAGGUGUUGGGGAACUGGAAUUUCCACCAUGGAAGGAGGCAGAUACAGCAAGAACUGGAGAAAGGCCAACAAGAUCCCUACCUGGACCUGAGGCUGGAGAGGACAGUCAGAACUCAUUUCACACACACACGCAUGCUCACAUGCUUGUGCACACAUGGCUCAGGAGCCAGACCACAUGUGCACAUUUCCUAGAUCUGUCCACGGUGGGGCCCAUGUGGUGACAUCAGGCAGCUGGGAGCCCACUUGCGUCCAGAGCCUGCUUGCUGAAGACCACUCCGUAUCCACCAUAAGAACGUUUCCUGAAGACUUGAUUGAUUCCAUAACUGGAGCCUGGGAGGUACUAGGUGAGCCCACAGCGUCUUACAAUAGAAAGUAAAGAAGGACAGAAGAAAGAGUGAGCCUGUGCAGCUCUAGAGUGACAGCAGCUGCAUGAAGCGCACCCCCGACCUGCAAAACCUUGGACAAUGUGCACCUCAAAACAAACCGAAUCCAGUAGGAACCUAUGAGUCCACUCUGAACACAGGUGGGGGAGCACAGGUACCAGGUGGGGGGCAGCAGUCUUUCUUCCCAUGGGUGCCAGCUGGUAGCGGUGUGGAUUGCCAUUGCCAAAAGCCACAGCAGAGGCUGGAGACUCCACGUCAGUGACACUAGGGGAGGGCUGGAUUGGCAAUCUUUAAGGGCCUUUCAACAGGAUCUUUUAUGAAAGGCAGGGAGGUUUGUAACUGGUGGGGAAAUGACCACAGGUUGGCCAGAUGUCUAAAGCCAACAUUGCUGAUGAGGAGUGAUGGACAUCUUGCAUCUGCAGAGACCCCAGAAGGACGUGACAUCAUGACUUGGUGUCAACCUGAAUCUAAUCAUGAAUAUGUAUGGGAGAAAAAAAGCCAGGAAUGUUUUGUGGGUAACUGGUGUGUAUUCUUCAAAAGUGUGGUGAAGGGCUGGGGAUGUGGCUCAAGCUCGCCUGGCAUGCGUGCGGCCCGGGUUCGAUACUCAGCACCACAUACCAACAAAGAUGUUGUGUGUCCGCCGAGAACUAAAAAUAAAUAAAUUAAAAAAAAAAAAAAAGUGUGGUGAAAGACGUGGAAGAGCUGUCUCAGACGAGUGGGCACCUGACCGAAUGCAGUGCAAGCUCCCAUACCAGGUGUACAAAUGUCAUGGAGGACAUGAGCAGGGCGGGGGCGGGGGAAAACUGCAAAAUCAGGUGACCAUGUGCUGUUGUCAUGAUUCAGUGAGUCCCCAAAACCUGUGCUGAAACUCGACUUGCAGUUGCCCAGCACUGGGAUGUGAGCCCAACAAGACCUGCUUGGGUCACAAGGGCUCUGCCAGCAGAGGGGUUGGCACUGCCCCGAGGGUUUGCAAGUCAGCUCUCCCUUCACCCUCCUGUAUGCGUGGACACAGCCUCCUCCCCUCAGCGGGAUGCAGCCUUCGAGGCGCCACCUUGGACUGGGGCCUUGGACGUCCAGCUUGUGCUCUAUGAUAUACCCUGUCUGCAGUACUCUCACAGCAGCGUGAAUCAGGAAUGCAAGACUCCCCAGUGUGCUGACCUACAUAGGACCAUGUUGUUCUCAAGAAACAUGAGCUUGAGUGUCGACAGUCCCAGGAUAACCAGCUGAUAACCAGCCUCUCCUGAAAGACUCAGAGAGAAUAUAGGCAGGAUGAUAAAAU